AAACGAACGCCUGUAGGGUUUUAAAUGCGCAUGUAUACAGUAUACUUGUAUAUAGCCAGUGAAUAAACAAUCACGUGAGCCCGUUACCCUCGAAAUAACGACGUAGGAAAUUAUUUUUGUAGAACACGAUAUUAUGACGAAAAAAACAAUCUCAACUAUGUAUAUAUUAUAAUACCGAACUGUUAAAAAAUACAAUUAUUAAUAUCGACUCGAUAUAGAUAUUGCAUAAUAAUACUUAAAUAUUUAAUACUGGCAGAUGGCGAUCAGACGUGACGCGAUAAAAUAACACACGUCCGAAUAUCUCGGA